CAGGCAGACUGCACCCGAAUGGACUAAGCCUCCUGAAGUCACCGGCAGGUACAGAAGAAACACACAAGCGACCCCAGAACACUUGGAACUAACAGAAAUACAAAGACGGAAGGGGAAAGCAGCCAUAAUCCCAGAAAAAUGGCUGCUGACAUAUUGCCCUUGGAGUAUCUGGAUUGCUGUUCAGCCCCGUGAGCAUCGGGAUGACUUCACUCCCCUUUGCAGCUGGCACACCUGGACUCAAUCUUCAGGUCUAGGUUUGGAUGCAGCGCCUCUGAGAAUCCACUUCUUGACUGUGGUCCCCCCCUUUCAGAGCCCUUCAUCAUACAGCAGUCUGCAGUUACAUCACCAUUUGUGUGGUUAUGACAUAAUAUAUCCGUGUCCCUGUUUCUUAGACUAUUUUGUGAAGCUUCGACAGAAUUUCACAGAGUGAUAGUUUUUAAGGAAAAUACAUUUAUUUCUCAUGAUCCUGGUGCCUGGGAAGUCCGAUAUUAAAGUACUGGCAUCUGGCAAGGACGCCAUGCUGCAUCCCCAUCCUGAUGGAAGACGUCAGAUGGUAAAAGAGUCCCUAAGAGGAGGAGGAGGGGAGAACGACCACUGAAGGAGCUGAGCUUGACCCUUAACCAGCUCAGCCCUUGGAUAACUACCUACACAGGGUGAGAGCCUCAGCAAUCUGGAGGGCAUUGCCCGCAUGACCCAGUUCCCCUUUAAAGUCCAACCUCCGAGCGCUGUCACAGAGGCAAUCAACUCUGAACAUGACUUUGGGAUAGGGCCUUUAUUUUGUAACACCCUGAUAGACGCGUCCCAAGGCAGGGCAAGUCCAUUUUGUAAACUGCGGGAUUUGCUCCUGCUGGCAGCCCUCACCUGGCCCCCUUCCUUCCCAGUCCAGCCCCAUGGGUGAAAGUCCAUGAAGUUCAUGGCAUAUAGAGACUGGCAGCUGCUGAGGGCCAGCCUUCAACAACCGGUGUGUAAGACAGGUUCCUAAACUGUCCAGUAAGGUAGACUUCCCGGCAAGCAGGAGCCCUCGGCAUGGCUUUGCUUCUUGGCCUCUGACAUCCGAUGGACAAGUUCACUGUGGACAGAGCCUCUGGCAUUGAACUCCCCGAGGGACCAAAGCUUCCCCAGCAGCCCUGUGCACUGAUCUGCUGCUCUGAGAGACCUUCUCUAAGUUAGAGAAAGGUUUACUUCCCUUAAAACACUCACAAUGCACGCUCAUGUAGCUGUCUUGACUGGUCACAACAACUUUGUGAUGUUCCUGUCAUUGGGGCCAUUUUACAGUUCAGGAAACGGAGGCUCGGGAGUCCCAGCUUGAGCCUCCACCUGCCUUAGACAUGUCUGAGCAAGCCUGAAGAGCUGCAGCGUGGACCUGCUAGGACUGUGGAGCCUCCUGGGAAGAAUGGAGGAGUCAGGCACAACCCAGGCCUGGUAACAGGAUGUUGCAAGCUUCUGGGGAUGGAGCAUGCUCUCCAUGAGGAAUACAGGCUGUGCUGGGCCCAAGUGAGAAAGUGAUCAAUGGCAUGCCCACUGUGUGGCACAAGCCGGUAACGCAACACAAAGGAGGCUGAAGCAGGAUGGUGACAGAAGACUGGGAGGAUCUACACAGCUGGUGAGGUCGCUUUGAUGCCAGACAACAGAUGAAGAAUGACACUUUACGAACGUCUCUUUUUGACUGGGACUACACCAACCUUGAUGGCCUACGGAGGUAGAAAUUUCAUAGGUAACCCCACCUCCAAUCCAGAGCAUACCAGUGGUGACCAGGCCAACAAAUACAUUUGGCGUCUUCCCUGUGGCCAGUUGACGCAUUAUGUCUGCAGAAGCAUGUUCAAUGGGAAGCUGAACCUAGAUCUGAGACAGAAACAAGUGAUGAGCUACUGAAAUCAGUCCACAACCCGGGGACGAAUUGGGAGGCAUGAACAUUGGUUGGUAGCAUAAU